rnacentral:ncRNA from 2 species
GCGAAACACUCUGGAGAGACCGGCUCGCACGUUGUGGUAGCGAGAACCGGCGCCGAAGGGGCAAGAAGCACGGUCGGGAUUCCUCCCCUCCCGCCCGCUUCCCAAACUCUCAGGCAGAAGGACAGAGGGGCACGA